GUUUAAUUCGAUGCAACGCGAAGAACCUUACCUACUCUUGACAUCCAGAGAAUUCGCUAGAGAUAGCUUAGUGCCUUCGGGAACUCUGAGACAGGUGCUGCAUGGCUGUCGUCAGCUCGUGUUGUGAAAUGUUGGGUUAAGUCCCGCAACGAGCGCAACCCUUAUCCUUUGUUGCCAGCGGUUCGGCCGGGAACUCAAAGGAGACUGCCAGUGAUAAACUGGAGGAAGGUGGGGAUGACGUCAAGUCAUCAUGGCCCUUACGAGUAGGGCUACACACGUGCUACAAUGGCGCAUACAAAGAGAAGCGACCUCGCGAGAGCAAGCGGACCUCAUAAAGUGCGUCGUAGUCCGGAUCGGAGUCUGCAACUCGACUCCGUGAAGUCGGAAUCGCUAGUAAUCGUAGAUCAGAAUGCUACGGUGAAUACGUUCCCGGGCCUUGUACACACCGCC
rnacentral:rRNA from 1 species